rnacentral:misc_RNA from 1 species
AUUGGAGACGAGCAUAUGGUUAUAGAUCCAACACAUCACGAAGAAGCUGUUAUGGGAGGAAGAAUGUCCGUCACCCUGAAUGCAAAUGGUGAUGUCUGUGCAAUUCAAAAAGCUGGGGGACAUGGUGUCUUGCAAAGUGUUGUCAUGCAGUGUCUACGCAUAGCAUCAGUAAAAGCCGGAGAUAUAACUAGCAAAAUUAAAACCGUUGUUGAAUCUUAUAAAACAGAGAGAGCUCUCAGAAUGGUCAAGCGACAUGCUCCUAGAAAUGCUGUUGAUGUCAAUGCACCAGGUGAAAAGGCUAAGCAAAUUUUGGAGGGGCCAAAAUUGAAAUCAGAAGAAUGCAGUGUUAGUCAGAGCGAUGACAUGGAUGUGGAGCAGGGUAGAAUCAAGAAGAAGAGUGAUAAGGACCGGAGUUUCACAGGCAGGCCGUCCAGUUGGGAUCCAUAUUCAGAGGGUGUCAACACUGACGAACUGAAAGCUACUCUUGCCUCUCGUGGUUCAGUUGCAGUGCCUAUGAAUCUAGACAAUUUAGGUGAUGAUAUUAGAGAUGAAACAAAA